UCUCUGGGCACAGCCCUGGAACCCCCAUCAGUGAACUGCACUCUGACAAUUUGGAGCCCAGCUUUCAGCCUUAAGGGACUGGACUGGAUAUUCCCUGUUUCACCCGAAAUCAACUUUAAACAGGUCAACAAAACAAUUGAAGAGAAGUGUCUGGAGUACUUCAUACGAAGACAGAAAUCCCCUGGAGUAAAGUGGAAAGAGACCUGUCUCUAUAAACAACUGAAAUAGCUUAAUUUUGAAAGCAACAAAAUUAUUUUUUAUGAAGAAGAAAAGUCUCCACUGCAUUCUUCACAAAAUAAUUCCUAGUAUUUCUUAAUGACUAUUAAAAAAAUCUAACUACUUAUAUUACAA
ensembl:lncRNA novel transcript